rnacentral:rRNA from 1 species
UACGGGGGGGGCAAGCGUUGUUCGGAAUUACUGGGCGGAAAGGGCUCGUAGGCGGCCAACUAAGUCGGAUGUGAAAUCCCCAGGCUUAACCUGGGAACUGCAUCCGAUACUGGAUGGCUUGAAUUCGGGAGAGGGAUGCAGAAUUCCAGGUGUAGCGGUGAAAUGCGUAGAUAUCUGGAGGAAUACCGGUGGCGAAGGUGGCAUCCUGGACCGAGAUUGACGCUGAUGAGCGAAAGCUAGGGGAGCAAACGGG